rnacentral:lncRNA from 1 species
UGAUGACCCUCUGUAGGCUGCCAUCUUGGAACAUAAUGCUUGAACCUUGUAUUUCUAUAGUGAUCAGAAGUUCUGGACUCUUAGUAUUGGGCUUAUCAGAGCAUACCUGUAGAGUCAUCACCCACUGGAGAAGUGAAUUUUUGUUUGUUGUUGGUGUGGGGUUUUUUUUGUUUAUUUGUUUGUUUGUUUUUGGUAUUGGAAAUAAAACAUUUCACAUUCUAGGCAAGCACAUUCUAAUCCUGAGCUACACACUCGGCCCUUCUGUUAGAGAAAUGAGACCCUGAGUUACAGCAAAGAGUUAAGUCUACAAUCAUGGACAGAUGAGGAAUGCUUCAUGAUUCUAAAAAUCUCUUUUUAUCUGCUGGAAACUGUAAUUAAAAUGAGAGACAAGUGUGCGAAGUAUUUUGGCAGUGAGUAAAAUCUACCACCCAACAACUCAAACUUAGUUUUAUGUCAGUGAGUUUGGCACCUUAAUAACCACCUUUAAAUGAAUGGCAUUGGGUUAUUUUAUAUGACGAGAUUAUGAAGGAAUCUUUAAUAGUUUAACAGAGUAGUGCAUAAUGGCUAUAACCCCUUUCUGUUCCGUACUUCCUCUUUUUCCCCAUCCCUUUCUUCACAGGAUACUGAGUAUAAGUUGUAUUGGAAGACAAAGGUUCAGUUGACCAUGUCACAUUCAAAAGGUUAUUUCUCCUUUCAUUUUACUAUAUUAGAAUUCUGCUAUAAUCAAGGCUCUUCACUACACAACCCUACCCUUAAAGGGUCAUCUUGACACUUGAUUGAUCUAAUAAGAUUUCUAUAUAUAACACAAAUUGGUUUAAGGAGGGACACUCAUUCAUGAAGCAAAAGAAAGUGUUUGUUUGGGAAUACAGUGUAUAUGCUCUUGAACAAAACAGAAUCAAAACCAAAACCAAUGUUGGGCAAAUGAUUCUCAGUUAUGAGGUAAAUGUUCACUCUCUCUUAAUAUACUGAAUUGUUUCAUUCUUCCAAAGUACUGGGUUGGAAAGGUAAACUUCCUAGGAGCUGGGGGAAGUCCAUUCGUUUCUCCUCUCAUCUUGCCCAUAAUAAUUAUUAUGGACAAAGUGUACUCUCAUGAUGAUAAGCAAUGAAAAAUGAGAUUAGAUCUUCCAGGCAAUGCUGGCUUUCAGUGCUACCUGCACAACUGAGACAAAUAGAGAGCCUCUAUUAUUGAAAUCCUACCAUGGUGUUCUGCACUAAAUGAAGUGCAAUUUUAGCAAGGCUUCUUUUGGGUGUAAUGCAGAUUUGUAAUUUGGGGAGCAAUGAAAUUUCUCAAAAAUACACAAGCAAACCCCACUGCAUCACUAGCUUUGUAUACUAGGGACUGGCCUUACAUAGGCCAGAAUUGUAAACCUCUUUUGCAAAACCCACUGUUCCUCUGGUCCCAAAUCACCAUUCUACAUAUUGGAAUUUAGCGUGAAAUACUGGGAAAAAUUAACUGACAUCAUUUUAAAUAAUACACAUACCAGAUAACUUUACCCAAAAAUGAGAUAUGAUCAACGCCUUUGCUUUCAUACAGAAUCCUAGGUAAGCUCAAAAUAGACAGCUAUAAUUAAACAAAACAAUAAAACUGUUGAAGUGGUGAAUGCCGAGGGUGUACAUUUUGUGGCAAUCAAAGGUGCGAUAAAAAUAAGAAGCAUAAAACUUAGAAGGACAUCUGUCUACCUGAGAAGUACCUGCAGUGCCAGAUUGUUUGUUGGAUUCAAACACUAGGAGAUGCCAACAUCAUCAGAACAGGAAGGGCUAGAAGGGUGCUGGCAAGUGCAUACAUUAUAGAGCACAAUUACAUAGUGCAGUAUUCUCUCAUAAACAUAUUGUUAUAUAGCAUGGAGGUUUAUUACUUUUGGCUUUAUAAUGUUUUUCAUUCUUAUUAUUUGUUUUUCUCUUGAUUUCAAUCCAGCCAUAUUUCCCUUAAUAUAUCUUACUACAUUUUUUGCUCCACUAAUUUGUUUAUUCACUAUACAGCUUGAUCACAGACACCCCAUCCUCUCCUCCCAGUCCCACCAUUAUACUCCCUUCCCUACUCUGCCUUCCUUUCCCUGAGAAAAGGAGAGUAUACAUAGCAGGGGAGUCCCCUCCUAUGGAUACACACUCACCCUAGUAUACCAAGUCACAUCAGGACUAAAUGCAUCCUCUUCCACUGAGGAAAGACAAAGCAGCCCGGCCAUGGG